rnacentral:lncRNA from 1 species
AGUUCCCAAGCUAGGUGUCAAAUUGGAGCUGCAGCUGCCAGCCUGUGCCACAGCCACAGCAGUGUGGGAUCUGAGCCGCAUCUGCAACCUAACCACAGCUCAUGGCAAUGCUGGAUCCUUAACCCACUGAGCAAGGCCUGGGAUCGAACUCGAGUCCUCAAACUUUGUUCAUUCUUCAGGAGUCAGCUCAGAAGUCACUUCCUCUGUGGAGUCUUUGGGUAGGGAGAGUGGUGUGGUAAGAUUGUCAAGGCUAGCAAGAACUGUAUCAUUCAGGGCCUGGAAGGUUAAAGUAUAUAUCUUGGAUUUUAAGACUACUGGUUCUUAUCCACCGUCAGCUUAGAAACUGCUGUCCUGGAGUGCUCCUAUACCUAAUCUUGUUAAAACAGGCAUUGCUUAAUAUUGUAAUUAUUUGCUCUUGUUUCUUUCCCCUCCCAAGGUAGUGUAACAGCCUCUCAGAUAAAUUUUUGUUGAUGUCUACUCUUUGUGGUGUUUGGAUGGAAAAUGAAAUGAUACCUGUAAUAUGGCUGGUACAGUAAAAACUCAGUAUAAGGGUGAGCUGUUGUUGAUGUUAUCAUUAUCAUUACUGGGCAGGUAAAUCCUGAGAUGAGGAAUAAAGGGAAAUUUCUUGAAAGAGGUGAGAUCUGAUCCAGGCCUUAAAAGACUGUGUAAAGAUUGCAUUGGUGAGUUUUGCUCAGAUGGUUUUAAAAACUUUAUGAAAAACCACUGUGAAAGUUGAGACUUAAAAUUUGAUGGUAAAGUAUCUGUAGUUAUAUAUGUCUAUGGCACUUGAAAAGGAGGAACUAUGUUUCAUUUUUUGGUUUGUUUCCUUAGUAGAGAAUAAGUACUAAAUACAGAAUUAAUACAUUAUUUUAUAUGCAUAAAUAAUUAUGUCGAAAAGGUAGAUUUAGCUAAGAUUGUUCAAGAUUGAUUUUUAGAAAGUUAAAAUUAUGAUUUUUGUAUGAACUUACAAAACCUCACUUGAAUUUGUUUUUACUAAAGUAAAAGCAUUAAGGCAGUAUAUGUAUUUUAAAACAGCUUGUGCCUGUGCCCUUCAGACACUUUGGUGGGUGCAUUUUUAUCAAAACCAUAUACAUAGUGACAUAUUAAAUGUAUCAUAUUAUUAUACUAAUCAUAUGACUUUAGAAACGAAAGUAACCAGAGGACUAAAGCCUAUCAAAACCACCUUUUUGUUUUGUACAAUGGGAUUCUUUUUAAAUUUGCCAAUGAAUUCAUACCAUUAUUGAAACCAGAUGUAGACUUCCGUCUUUUAAUGUAUUUGCUGAGCUAUAAAGUCUUAUUUCCAUCUCUGAUUACUGAGUAUUUUAUUCAUGGUUUAUUGUCUCUCUCCUGCCCUCCUCUUCCUUUUUUUAAACUUGACUGUAAAAUGUGAUUCAAGUGAUUUUAAAAUAACAUUGCCCCAUUUGUAUAGUGAUGGGACUAAAAUUAAAUCUGUAAUGUAUUGAUGAUAACCUAAUUAAAUCCAUAAAUGAAGUACUCUGUUGAUAAAAUUUUUCAUUGGAAAGGAUUCUUGACAGAUAUUACUAAAAGAAGUGUUAACUGUGAUUUGAGAAUGGAUCUAAGAGUUUUCCAUCUUAGAACUUGAGUCUUGUGAUACCUCUUCCUAUAUAAAGCAGAUUCUCUCUCUUAUGUUUUUUUCUUUUCUCCCUAUGUAUUUUCUUUAUAAACCUCAUAAUUUUGAAAUCUGUCUGAAUUAUUAUUGAUAUGAAAAAGAUACUACUUAAAAUUUUUAUCGUAAUGGGAAGAAGGGAUUCUCUCUUUUGCCAAAUAGAAAUCUGGCCGUGGUGAUUGUGUUUGUAUGUAAAUGAAAUUUGUUAAAAGCAUUUAAAGGUUAUUUGAAAACAAAACUCUAUUUAGGAAAAUGGCUGUCAACUAACUCCCUUCCAUUUCCCCCCCAAAUAUAGUCAGUAGAUGUCUAAAGGACAUGAGGUAAACAUCUGGAUCAAGACCUACAUCUAGAAGAUGACUCUCCUUCCCUUCUUAUUCUCCGUUAGUGACACAAAAGAAUAUGUGCAGAGUGAUUUAAAAGUGGAUAUAGAUAUUGUUUGUUUCCAAAGUUCAUUUGAUCCAUUGAUAUUUAAAAGAGACUAGGUAAGCAUUUAUUCUCCAAAUUUGCUAAGAUUUACCUGCCUUUUGGCACUUACAAGGCUGUAAAUUGGCCUGUACCUUUUAUCAUUUUUCUCAUCUUAAUGGAAGGAAAGAAAAUGGGCCUCACUUGAUAACUGAAUGCCACUUCAUAACUAUUAUACUUCUGUUCUUCAGUUAAUUGUUUGUGGUCUUUCCUUUCUCUGGACAGUAAACUACUUUUCUUAUUCAAAGUCCCAUUUUGAUGCCAGUUCUUCUUUCCUUCUCUAAUUAAUUGUUCUCCCUUGUGGUUCCAUUUCACCAUGAAAGUACUUUUUAUAGCUUGUAAGUCUGACUUUUAUUCAAGAUUGGAACUCUGUGAGGUUAGGUUGGAGACUUUUUAAGUACAGCGUAGUGCUCAAUCACUUUUUUCAGUGAACGAAUGUCUUCUAAGGCGUUUUGGAAAGUAUGCUUUUACACAUGGCUUAUACUCUUGUACAAGCUCCACAUGUACUGAUUUCCUCAGCAACAUUGUGACCCAUAUGGCACAAGUUCAUAAUCAAUAACUUCAUUUUUUAAAUUUGCUUUUCUUUAAUAAUUAGUGCAGUUUAAUAUUUUCACAUAUAUAACUAGUCCUGUUUUAAUUUUUAUGAAUCAUAUGUUCAUUUCCUUGCCUAUAGAUUUAUUGAGGUUUUUUGUUUUUCUGAAGGAUUUACAUGACCUCUUUCUGUUUUAAAUCUAUAUCCUAAGUAUCUCACUGUAUUUGCUGGGAACGUUUUUCUAAAUUUUCUAAGCUUUUAAUUUUUAUGUAGACCAAGGUAAUAAAUUUUUGUAAUUCUUUGCCUUUUUGAUUAGAAACUUUUUGUCUCAUGACUUGAUAGUUACUUACUUUUAUUUAAAUAUUUUAAAAGUUUAAGUAAUUGAUCUAUGUGUUCAUUUUGAUGGGAUUAAGUAUCUGUUUUCAAUAAAAUACUCAUAAAGUUAUCUUUGAUGUCCUCAGUUAAGGUUAUUUUUCGGGCCAGGUGAGUUCAUUUACAGGUAUACUAGUUUGUUUGGUUGGCAUACCACUUAAAAUAAUUUAAACUUGAAUGCUGAGAUGAUGCGUGCACUCUGCCUGAUAUGCAAGGCUGCUGUUCAGUUUUAGUGUUUGUUUAUGGCUGGUAUCUGUUCUUACUGUUGUUAACUAUCCUUAGCUGUUCUGAUUGGUUGGCUUUAUGGCUAGUGACUGUUCUGAUUAAACAUUGCCUUUACCGUUUGUUGAAUUCGUAUUUUGAUAUCACCUUUGGAAGAAGCCUUGUAAUUCCCUGUUUUCUUAUAUCGAUAGUAAUUCAAACAUUCAUGUUUGUGACCAUCUGGCAAUGGUGUGAGAGUCAAUAGACUGUAAAAUCACAAGACACGUGUUUGCCACUUAAUAGUUGUGUUUGACAGACCCCUUAAUUUCUCUGAAUUUGUUUUCUUAUCUGUAGAAAAGGACGAUUAAGUCUGUUUAUUGAAUUGUGUGAAACUCAGGUAAAAGAAAUAUAAACAUUUAGGUCAACAUUAUAUCUCUGUGUUGCAGAAACUGUUUCUUAACUUGUCUGUUGUUGUUUAAAAUGGUUUUAUUGGGGCGAGAAACCUUUCAUUUUUGUCAUGGAAGUUAAAAGCCUUAAAGUGCAGAGACCACAUUUGAGCCUUAAUAUUUAAAUGGCUUGUUGAAAUAAUACCAUACAAAAAUAGCUUUAAAUGAGGAUGUAUCCAUGUACUGGUGUGAAUGAUUGGAUAUUAUGUCGUUUUUUGGAUUGAUUCCCAGAAGUAAGGGAAGGGGUUUAUUACCAAACAGAGAAAAGCAUAAUGAAAGAGAGGCUCUAGAAACUUUACGUGUUUGAUUCAGAUCUGCCAUCUCCACCUUUACUAAUUGAGGACCAAAUACAAUUGUGGUCUCAGGUAUUCUUGUAAGUUUCAGAAAAACUGGUCCUGUCAGUUUCUUCACCACAUAUACCCAGCGCCUUUAACAGAAACUAUACAAGAGAGCCAGUGAAGUUGGUACUGACUGAAAGAAUAAAAGUGGUUAUUCAAAUUAGUGUGAAUUUUUUAUUUAUUAUAGUCUUUUGUUAAGAAAAGACUAUGAAGAUCUUUUGUGUAUACAUUAUGGAAUCAAAGAAUUGUAAUGACCCUUUGAAAUCUUUUAGCAAAGCCAGGCAGUUCAUGAAUGAGUGCAGUGUCUCUGGCAAGUCUUCCUUUAGGCUCCCUCUGGAUUUCUCCAAUGGCAUAUGCUUUGCAGCACCAAAGUCAGAUAGAUCCUGAGAGCUGAAAGUAUAGUAGGUCUGUUUACUUCUGAACUUUCUCUAGUAUAGCUCUGAAAUAUAGGGUAUACAGGAGGAGAGGUAACAGAUCAAGGUGUUUAUGAAGGAUUAGUGACCUUCUAGUUGGAAAUAAGGGACCACUAUGAGACUAAAAAUUGAAGUCUAGAUAACUGACAAGGUCAGCAUUGAAAGAACUAAACAUGACACAAUUUUGUGGACUGGCACUGCUUUUAUAAUACCCUCGGACCUUUCAUCUUUAUACCAGGAAUGGGGACUAGGGAGAGGGGAGAAACACAGGCACACAGGACAGCACCACUGUCUUGCACAUGUUCCGCAGUGGUGUAGCGUGGUGGAUUUCAACAACACUCCUAACUCUACUCCCCCACCUUGGUGCAAAGCACUAAUUUAAAAAGCCUGGGAAUAUCACAUGUGGCUAUCUCUUUUGUAACUACAAGUCUCUACCCAUUCAUUCAUUAUUUAUUGAGUGUUAACUGUAUGCCAGGUGUGGUUCCAAGCAUUGUGCAUACAUCACAGUGAACCAAUCUUGUGGGCCCUUUUCUUAAUGCAGUACUGUUCUGUAGAAAUAUAACAUGAGCCACAUGUGUAGUUCUAAACUUUCUAGCACCCAUAUUUAAAAAAAAGUGAGGAGUUCCCGUCGUGGCGCAGUGGUUAACGAAUCCGACUAGGAACCAAGAGGUUUCGGGUUCGGUCCCUGCCCUUGCUCAGUGGGUUAACGAUCCGGCGUUGCCGUGAGCUGUGGUGUAGGUUGCAGACGCGGCUCGGAUCCCGCGUUGCUGUGGCUCUGGCGUGGGCCAGUGGCUACAGCUCGGAUUCGACCCCUAGCCCGGGAACCUCCAUAUGCCGCGGGAGCGGCCCAAAGAAAUAGCAAAAAAAAUAAAAUAAAAUAAAAUAAAUAAAAAAAA